AUGCAGCCCAGGACACAGGUGGUUUUCUGGCCUGCAGGAACAUGAAGACUGUAUUUAGGAUAGCACUUGAAGGUGUUAAGGCCGCUUGACUGGAGUUACAACCUCAAGAUGAGUCAUGGUAUGAGCAGGGAAGUUCUAGGGGGAAAAAAAAAAGAAAAAAGCAUGAAAUAUGACACCAGCAGAGAAAGGGAUCUAGCUCUAAAGGGUGAAGUAUGGACCAGAUAAGUGGACAAUAAGGUAGAAUUAAAACUGGUUGAUCUUCCAGACUUGCAAGAAUUAUAAUGAGCACUAUGAAGUUCAGCUGGAGGCCAGUUACCAGCAGCAUGCCUUAGGGGUAAACACUGCCUCCAAAUGAGUGGAUGAAGCACCAAGCUUCAUGAAUGACCUCAUUGACUGAGAAGAGCAUGGCCUCAGAAAGCUUGCAGACAAUACAACAGUAGAAGGAGAUAAUGACUAAUCAGGUGAUUGUUCUGCCAUUUAGAGGGAUCCUGACACACUGAAGAAAGAGCCAGAGAAUAAUGACAUCUAGUUCAACAAAGGGAGAUCACUGGAGGUUGUGAAAAUGCCAUUAGACAGACAGGUAGACAAUGUCAUCAAGGCUGUCCUUCCCAAAAAAGACUGGACCAGAUGAUCUUUCAGAAUCCUGGGCCAUUUUAUGAUUUGAUGACAUGCAACAUCAUGUACCUGAUCACAAAUGCUGACAUGCACAUAUUCUUUGUUAGUCACUGAAUUAUCCAUGAGCCACCUGUUUGCUCUUCUAUCACAGAAGACAAACAGCUACAUCAGCAGAAAUGUUGUCAGCACCUUAAGGGAGGUGAUCCCUCCUCUUCUCAGCACUGGUGAGACACAUCUGGAUUGCUGAGUGCAGUUCUGGUCUUCCCAGUACAAAAGAGAUAUGGACUUACAGAAUACGUUAAGGCAAGGCACAAAUAUGAUUAAGGUUUUGGAGUGUGUCACAUACAAGGAAAGAGUGAGGAAACUGGAUUGAUUCAGCCUUGGGAAGAUGAGGUUUAGGGAUAUCUUAUAAAAUUUUAUAAAUAGCUGAUGAUUAGGAAUAAAGAUGAGGAAAUCAAACACACUUGAGUGAUAAUUAUUGAGAAGACAAAGGCAAUAUGUACAAAUGGAAAUAUAGGAAAUUCCAUUUCUAUUAAACAAAAUAUUUCUGCAAAGGUGAUAACAUACUGGAACAGCUUGCUCAGAGAUAUUGUGGAGUCUACAUUCCUGGAGAUGUGGACACUCCAACUGGACACAGAUGUAAACCAUAAACUCUACCUGAUCCUGCUUCAAGGAAAGGUGUUGGACUAGGUGAUCUCCAGAGAUGUCUUCCAUCCUCACAGAUUCUCUGAAAAUAUAAUAUUCUGUCAUCAGAUUUUACCUUAGCUACACAUUAAACAACCUUCCUAACUAGUUUCAGUAAUUCUGCUCAACUCUAUUUACAAGUGGACAGCUAUUUAUAAGGAACAGGAUGAC